UAAGGAAUAUUGCUCAAUGGGAGAAAUCCUGAAGCAGCAACGCCGCGUGGAGGAUGAAGGGUCUUUGACUUGUAAACUCCUGUAAAGAAGGAAAAAAUUCCCAUUAGAUGGGCAAUGAUGGUACUUCUGAAGUAAGCUCCGGCUAACUACGUGCCAGCAGCCGCGGUAAUACGUAGGUGGCAAGCGUUGUCCGGAAUUAUUGGGCGUAAAGCGCGCGCAGGCGGAUUCGUAAGUCUACUUUAAAAGUGCGGAGCUCAACUCCGGGAGGGGGUAGAAACUGCGGAUCUUGAGGGUCGGAGAGGAAAGUGGAAUUCCCAGUGUAGCGGUGAAAUGCGUAGAUAUUGGGAGGAACACCAGUGGCGAAGGCGACUUUCUGGACGAUAACUGACGCUGAGGCGCGAAAGCCAGGGGAGUGAACG
rnacentral:rRNA from 1 species